AUGGGCUCGGUGACGCUCCGCUCGCACCGCCCGCGGCUCGGUAGCUCGACGGGAGCGCUUGCCCUGACUCGAGCCCCUCCUACCGGCACAAGAGCUGUAUCACAGCAAAUUCGGCACAGAUGCGCGAUUGAGCUUUCGCUCCCGACACGCGGCUGUCUGCGAGUUCAUGUUGUAACAGCAAAAGGACCAUCAAGGACCCAGCGGCUGCCCGCGCAUCCUUCGGCUGCUCCCUUCGCUGCUCUCACCGCGUCCCCGCCGCGGCCCGGCUCCCGCACAGCGCGGCUCCCGCUCCCCCAGCCCCGGGGCGGCACGCGUGCGGGGCACGGCCGGCAGCGCCGGAGCGACGCAGGGGGCAAAACCGAAGCCCCGUUCGCACCGAUCACUGCGGCGAGUCCGGCGAACCCACCUAAGUCAGACAGGUUCUUGGAGGCAUCAGACGCAGAGGUCCGAUCCCGGAGGGCUGCGGGUUCACGCGGACGCCGGUCCCCGCGCUCCAGGGGUGGCGCGGCGGCAGCGACGCGUACUCAGCCCUCCUCGGGAACGCGCCCGGCCCCGCCACGAGCACCCGCCCCGCCGCUCCGCAGCCCCGCGGCGGCCCCUCCCCGCGUUGCCGGGCUCCGAGCGCGCUCCUCGGCGACGGGACGGGACGGGGUGCCGCCCCCGGUGCGGUGCGGCGUUGUGCUGCGGGCUGCCCCCGCGGCCCCGGCCCCGCCCGCAGCUCUUCCCGCACGUGUGCCGGGUUUGGGUGCCGCCGGGUGCUGCUCGGCAGCCCGAGCGAAGAUCCACCCUGCCCUCACCUGUGCCACUUUGGAUUUGGCCACUGAACCAAAGGCAGUGAAAGCUCUGUCAUGUGAAAGCAACGAGCACUGUUUGAAGCAGAAAUGUCAUUCACGCUGAGAUGAGAAUCUGUACCAAUCUUGUGUUUCUGUAACUAACACACUCCAUGAAAGCUCUGCCAUCCUACUUCAUUGCUGCAUCCCUUCUUCUGAAGUUGACCCUACUAACGCUGGAGCUGAUUGUCGGUGCACAUUGACAGAGACUGCCCUGCUCUGUGGCAAACUUGGCACUCCAGCAGAGAGAACUGGUCCAAU
rnacentral:lncRNA from 1 species